UCAGUGGUGGUUCAGUGGUAGAAUUUUUGCCUUCCAUGUGGGAGACCCAAGUUUAAUUCCUGGCCAAUGCA
rnacentral:tRNA from 1 species